AAUGAACGUUGGCGGCGUGGAUUAGGCAUGCAAGUCGUGCGCGAAUCGUAGCAAUACGAGGAGAGCGGCGAAAGGGAGAGGAUAGCAUAGAUACCUACCCUCGGACCUGGGAUAGCUAUGGGAAACUAUAGGUAAUACCAGAUAACGUCUCCGGACCAAAGGUGUGAUUCCGUCCGGGGAGGGGUCUAUGUCCUAUUAGCUGGUUGGUGAGGUAACGGCUCACCAAGGCAAAGAUGGGUACGAGGCGUGAGAGCGUGUCCUCGCUCACUGGGACUGAGACACUGCCCAGACACGUACGGGUGGCUGCAGUCGAGAAUCUUCGGCAAUGGGCGCAAGCCUGACCGAGCGACGCCGCGUGUGGGAUGAAGGCCUUCGGGUUGUAAACCACUGUCAGUGCGGAGGAAAUAUAGGGGGGUACUCCCCUCUAUUUGACCUAUGCGCAGAGGAAGGACGGGCUAAGUUCGUGCCAGCCGCCGCAGUAA
rnacentral:rRNA from 1 species